rnacentral:rRNA from 1 species
UACGGGGGGGCAAGCGUUGUUCGGAAUUACUGGGCGUAAAGGGCGCGUAGGCGGUCAGCACAAGUCAGUUGUGAAAUCUCCGGGCUUAACUCGGAAAGGUCAACUGAUACUGUGCGACUAGAGUGCAGAAGGGGCAACUGGAAUUCUCGGUGUAGCGGUGAAAUGCGUAGAUAUCGAGAGGAACACCUGCGGCGAAGGCGGGUUGCUGGGCUGACACUGACGCUGAUGCGCGAAGCCAGG